rnacentral:RNase_P_RNA from 1 species
UAGGCAAACGCUGGAGGUAAUUUAUCUCUUGAGGAAAGUCCAUGCUCACACAGUCUGUAAUGACUGUAGUGUUCGCAUCUAGGGAAAAAAUAACCUAGAGUAGUUUAUACUAACGGCGGAUAUUAUUUCUAAGUCUUUGAUAAGAAAUAAUCCAUAAAGUGCCACAGUGACGAUGCUUUUCGAAAGAAAAGAGUGAAACGCGGUAAACCCUGCGAGUGAGAAACCCAAAAUUGGUAGGGGAGUCUUAAUGAAGGAAAAAAACGGAUUUAAGGACCAAGUAAUUGGUAGAUAAAUGUUUGCCACCUGUAAGGGUACAGAACAUGGCUUAUU